AAUGUGGUUGGUGAUGCCAAACUUUUUUCCCCAUCAUAUCGACUAUGAUGAAACUCCAAGAACUAAGCCAGUUUAUGUCUGAAACUACAUU
ensembl:snoRNA small nucleolar SNORD12/SNORD106